GAAAUGCGAUAAGUAAUGUGAAUUGCAGAAUUCAGUGAAUCAUCGAAUCUUUGAACGCACCUUGCGCUCCUUGGUAUUCCUUGGAGCAUGCCUGUUUGAGUAUCAUGAAAUUCUCAAAGCAAGUCUUUUGUUAAUUCAAUCGGCUUCGCUUUGGACUUGGAGGUCCUUGCAGAUUGAGUUUUUUGCCUCAAAAAAUUCUUUUCGGCUCCUCUUAAAUAAAUUAGCUGGAUCUCAGUAUAUGCUCGGUUCCACUCGGUGUGAUAAGUAUCACUCGCCGAGGACACUGUAAAAAGUGGCCGGGAAAUGCAGAUGAACCGCUUCCAACAGUCCAUUCGCUUGGACAAUCACUUUUUUAAGUUCUGAUCUCAAAUCAGGUAGGACUACCCGCUGAACUUAAGCAUAUCAAUAAGCGGAGGAAAAGAAACU
rnacentral:rRNA from 1 species